GAUCCUGGCUCAGGACGAACGCUGGCGGCGUGCCUAAUACAUGCAAGUAGAACGCUGAAGGAGGAGCUUGCUUCUCCGGAUGAGUUGCGAACGGGUGAGUAACGCGUAGGUAACCUGCCUGGUAGCGGGGGAUAACUAUUGGAAACGAUAGCUAAUACCGCAUAAAAUUGAUUAUUGCAUGAUAGUCAAUUAAAAGGUGCAAAUGCAUCACUACCAGAUGGACCUGCGUUGUAUUAG
rnacentral:rRNA from 1 species